rnacentral:rRNA from 1 species
AUUGAACGCUGGCGGCAUGCUUUACACAUGCAAGUCGAACGGUAACAGGCCGCAAGGUGCUGACGAGUGGCGAACGGGUGAGUAAUGCAUCGGAACGUGCCCAGUCGUGGGGGAUAACUGCUCGAAAGAGCAGCUAAUACCGCAUACGAUCUAUGGAUGAAAGCGGGGGACCGUAAGGCCUCGCGCGAUUGGAGCGGCCGAUGUCAGAUUAGGUAGUUGGUGGGGUAAAGGCUCACCAAGCCAACGAUCUGUAGCUGGUCUGAGAGGACGAACAGCCACACUGGGACUGAGACACGGCCCAGACUCCUACGGGAGGCAGCAGUGUGGAAUUUUGGACAAUGGGGGCAACCCUGAUCCAGAAAUGCCGCGUGCAGGAAGAAGGCCUUCGGGUUGUAAACUGCUUUUGUACGGAACGAAACGGUCUGGGUUAAUACCCUGGGCUAAUGACGGUACCGUAAGAAUAAGCACCGGCUAACUACGUGCCAGCCGCCGCAGUAAAAC